CCCCGGCGCCACAAGUGGUUAUCACGAUUAUUGGGCCUAAAGCGUUCGUAGCUGGUUUGGUAAAUCUCUUGUGAAAUUGUUCGGCUUAACCGGACAGCGUGCAGGAGACACUGCCAGACUCGAGACCGGGAGGGGUUAGAAGUAUGUCGUGGGGACUGGUAAAAUGGGAUAAUCCACGAUAGACUACCGAUGGCGAAGGCAUCUAACCAGAACGGAUCUGACAGUGAGGAACGAAAGCCAGGGGAGCGAACCG
rnacentral:rRNA from 1 species